GUUUCUGUAGUUGAAGUAUAAACAACGGCGGUUUUUCAGGCCGCAAGUCUUGGAAGAAGGCCAAGCAGAAAUU
rnacentral:tRNA from 1 species